rnacentral:rRNA from 1 species
UGAGGAAUUUUGCGCAAUGGGAGCAAUCCUGACGCAGCAACGCCGCGUGGGUGAUGAAGGCCUUCGGGUCGUAAAGCCCUGUCAGGUGGGAAGAAUGUCCUGGGACUGAACAGGUUUCGGGAGUGACGGUACCACCAGAGGAAGCACCGGCUAACUCCGUGCC